CUGCAUAUUGUUGGUUCAAAACGCAGAAUUUGGGUUUUUGCAUAUUAUUUGAAACUUUGGAAUUUUAUCUCAACAGAUUCAAUCGUCUCUCACCUCUUUGACGUAUAAGCAAUCACUGAAGCAAAGAAGCAAAGAUAACUUUCAGGAGAGCUUGGGUACGAAAUCCAAAUACGAGAAGCGGUCGUUCGCCCAAAUUGUCUAACCAUUCUUCACUUUGAAGGAUUCUCUUCCAAAAAUCUAUCCAUUGCUAGGUAUGGGAAUACGCCCACAUUCACCUACCUUUACAUUAUUUUCUUCGUUUGCUAAUUAUACUUUUUUACCUAAUAAAGCAACAAGCAGCUCACAGAAGAACAAUGAAAACAUUAAACAGAGAAAAUCAUUUUGCUUGCUCCUUUGUAUUUGAUUAUUAUUAUACCAACCAAAACAAUGAAGACUACAACCUGGACAUGCUCAAGAUUGAACUUUGCAAUAUAUGUAUUAUAUUUUUUAAUUAAUUAAUCAUUUGUAUUAAUAACCAAUCUUUUGUACUAUUCAUCGAUGUACCCUAAUUUGAUUUAUAUAUAAGAAGUUCAUUUUCAA